UACGGAGGGUGCAAGCGUUAUCCGGAUUCACUGGGUUUAAAGGGUGCGUAGGUGGGUAAGUAAGUCAGUGGUGAAAUCUCCGGGCUUAACCCGGAAACUGCCAUUGAUACUAUUUGUCUUGAAUACUGUGGAGGUCAGCGGAAUAUGUCAUGUAGCGGUGAAAUGCUUAGAUAUGACAUAGAACACCAAUUGCGAAGGCAGCUUACUAGACAGUCAUUGACACUGAGGCACGAAAGCGUGGGGAUCAAACAGG
rnacentral:rRNA from 1 species